GUUUUUCGCCGUUUCGUAGUUACACGUUAUCGAACCGAUGGGCUCGCAAUUCUUUCAACAGCGAACGAAAAAAGCUUACCGCGGGGAUACGAGAGAAAGAUAUAAAAGGUUUUUCGUAUCAGAAAAAAAGAGGAACGUUUUGCGGAGGAUGCGAGCUUUUUCACCGGGGAUAUCGCGACGAACUUUUUCGACCAAUCGUCACAAGACUUAUUUUAUUACGAUAGCGUUAGCGAUUCAUUGAAUUACCUCACAGACGGGAGGACGAUGCAUUCCAUCUGACAGAAUCACGUUUUCGUUGAAACUCGAAGGACAAGCGCUUUCAUUUUACAUUUAAUCGAGUACAAACGCUGUACAUAUUACCAGUGUAUUAUUAAUAUUAUUAUACGUGCGUGUAAGUCUAAGUCUAAUGUUGUCGAAUUAGAAAUCUGUACUUAUAGUGAUUUUUCAGGCGAGCAAACGAUGUCGUCGAAAACGUCGAGUACAUUGAACAAACCUUUGGUAAAUGAAAAACCUUUCGACGUUUCCGACGACGCAUCGUGAUCUGUGUUCGUAGCCAAAGAUUUUUCGAUCCUAGUCUCUGUCUAGUCACGUUAGAAAAGCAGAAUCUCGCGAUGUAUCGUGUCCGGCAUAGAUUUCGAGGGCUACAAAUUGAAGAAAAAGGUUAGCAGACUCCCGGAGGACAUCGUGCCUCUUCGGAAGGAAGGAAGAAAAGCCGAGGGAGAAGAGCAGGAAGAAUGCAAGAGAGAUAUCUUGUCCGUUUCCCACGGGAGAGAGAGAAAACCGAAAAGGGAGCGGCGCUCUCGAAUAAAACAUUACCGACUAUUAAUUUAUCAACCUUACCCCAUCGUAAAACCAUCAUCCCUCUUUCGUAUCGGAUGUCUUUCUUCGAAGACAGUUUCAUCGAACAAGCGUUUUAAUUAUUAUUAUCUGCCGUUGUCCUUGCAUCGGAGGAGACAAAGAAAAUUCGAGUCCCUUGUUCGACGAAGAUGGACUUUGAAAAAGUAACAGGUAUCAAAGGAAGCAGCAACGCAGAAGAAGAAGAAGAAGAAGAAGAAGAAGAAGCACGUUGGGACGUUAUUCAGAUGGAUCACGCAGCGAGCGAAAACUUUCUUCAACCCCCUUUGCCCUUAACUACCUGUUGAUCGAAGGACGACAGAAACAGAAAAAUAUAAUUGUGCAUACAAAAAAAUCCCCGGGGGGGUGAGGGUGUUUCCCCUACGAUCCUUCUUACAUUUUGGAAGAAAAGGGGAUGAACCUGGAAGCAAGUUGGAGCCAGACGAACGUCUAAUACACGUGACGGAGAAACGAUGACCGUAAUUCGAUAGCAUAAGUUCGUGCCACGCGUUUAUAUCCUCCCCUUUUUAUAUCCUACGCCGUCGCGUAAUAUCGCAACAGCACGAAGCAACGCGAUAUAUCCGGGACAGCCGAGCAUAUUUUCACCCUAAAGAUGCGAGUCGUGGAGCGAGGCACAUUUACACGCAUCCUCCGAGUUCCCACUUCCAUCCCCGAAUGGCUACCACCCUUCCUAAGCUAUCGAUGUAUCGUAUUUUUUUCCACCCUCUCCUCGCUCCCGAUGUCUUCCAUGCUCGCUGGCUGUCGCGUAACGACGAUCGGAAACGGAAGAGAAAAAAACGUAUCUAUUACACGAGCAGGAGAAUUUCUUAGCCUUUCAGUUUUCAUAAUUGACUGAAAAAGAAUUGGGGUCAGUGGGGUUAAAGAAUCUAUAGAGGAAAAAAUAUUCUCCUUUCUCUCGAGUAUACAUCGUCUUGUUUUUUUUUUUUUCUUUUGUUCUUUCUUCAUGCCGGAGGGGUGAAUCGCGUCACGAAACGCAGUCACGCGAUUCUACGAUCACCGGUAAUCAUUUUCAUUUAUUUAUCUUCUGUCCCAUGGAAAAUAUAUGAACCGUACAAGGAUUAUAGAAAUUUUGAAUAAAAAUCUACCCUGUUUGC